GGGCCCGCACAAGCGGUGGAGCAUGUGGUUUAAUUCGAUGAUACGCGAGGAACCUUACCAGGGCUUAAAUGUAAGUUGCAUAGACCAGAGAUGGUCUUUUCUUCGGACUACUUACAAGGUGCUGCAUGGUUGUCGUCAGCUCGUGCCGUGAGGUGUCAGGUUAAGUCCUAUAACGAGCGCAACCCCUACCGUUAGUUGCCAGCAAGUAAAGUUGGGGACUCUAGCGGGACUGCCGGUGCAAACCGAGAGGAAGGUGGGGAUGACGUCAAAUCAUCACGGCCCUUACGUCCUGGGCUACACACGUGCUACAAUGGUCGGUACAGAGGGCAGCCACUGCGUGAGCAGGAGCGAA
rnacentral:rRNA from 1 species